AGAACUUUCAGAUGACUUUAUUGGAGGAAAGACAUUUUUCUGCAACUUUAUAACUUUUCCGGCUGUCUAUCCUAAAGCCAACAUGACAGCAUGUACUCCAAAAGAAGUGGUAGUACCACUCCACAUUCCAGCAAGAAGUCUCUAAGGAUUCCAGCUUCUCCGCAACAUUGCCAACACUUGGUGUGAAAUUUUAGCCAUGAGAAUAGAUACCUGUGUCAAGAUGGUCAACUGGAAGUUCCUAAGAGUCUUCCCUCCAACAAAUAAACACCAAACAAUGCAUCAACAACUACAUUUUUACCAAAAUAACUAAAGGAGAACAUCAGGGAAGAGCAAAGAAGCAGCAGAAAUCCCGUAGAGCUCAAAAACCCAGGAUGGCUGCGUAGAGAAGGAAAGGAAACAUCUCAUCUUUGUCAUACCAUCCCCCAGUUGAGAUCAUCUCAGAGCCAGGAGAGACUUCUCGCUGUGGAGAAAAGAUAAUAAGAGGACCCAGCAACUAUCAUCAACACCAGAGACACCUGCAGUCCUCACUACUGAGACUCCUGCAGUCCUCACAACCUGUGAGCCCAGCUGAGGAAGCUCCUGGCAUCCACACACUGAGCUACCCACAGAGAAGGAGCCAAUGAUGAGCCCCACUCCACUGUGGCCCAUGCUGCUACUGCUCUACACCAUCUUAGAACAGCAUUGUGUCCUGUUUUGGGGGUGAGUAGCCAUUGCAUCCCUUCAUCCCUGAGGCUCGGCCACCAUUAUGCCAAUUCCAGCUGGUAGCACACCAUCCUUGAGCAGAACUGUUUCGAUGCCCUACCCACUAGGGCCAAACUACCACAGAGCUGCUCCACCCACCUCAUCCAAAUUGCUGGUGUACUUGCUCCUUAGGGCCAAGCUGAAAUGGUACCCUGCCCCCUGGGAAGCCAAAGCUUUAAACUACCAGAGCAGUCCCUCUCCCAGCGACACAGCUGAAGUAGUGCUGUGCCUCCCAAGGACCUAAGGCCUACUGCACACCACAGCAGUUGCCCUGACACUUGCACCACAGGUAAGGAAGAACCCCAACACCAAAGGGCUCUGAGGCUCUGGCACAUUGGAGUAGUUGCACCUCCCAGAACCACAACUGACACAGCACUCCACUACUCAGGAGCCAGAGACUCCACUGAAUCAUGUAGCCCCACUUCUGGAGCUGAGAAGAUGCAGUGUCUUGUGUCCCAGGAAAUCAUAGCUUUGGCUGAGCUGUAGCACCCCAUCCUCCAGGCCAAACAUUCACGGAACUCUGCCUAUCUGGAACUGAACUAGGCUUCUUCAUUCUGAGAUGCUGAUCCACCCUGUCUCUCUAGGAAGUGAAGUUUGUGCUACACUUCUCCCUGACUCCCGGGGCCCAGAAGAAUCUUACCAUUCCUGGGCCCUUGCUCCUGCUGCAUCUGAUCUCACAAAGCCUGAACUACUGGCUUGUUCUACCAUUCAGGGUCCAGAGUCACUAUUGCGUGGCACCUCAUCACCUGGAGCCUGAGCUGCCACUGUGCCGUAUUGCUGUCAGGUCCUAAAUUGCAGAUGUGUCUUAUUUCCAUGGCCUGAGCCUCCAGAAGACCCCUUCUUCCCUGAAGCCAUGCCAGUGCUGUGCUCUUUUCUCCACAGUCAGAACCACAGCUGCACCCCAACCCCUAGGGCCUGAGCUACUGGAAUAUGCAUCAGAGCAACAGACCCCAAAUAAGUGGGAGAGUUAUCUCCAAGGCAAUUCAUGCCUUGGAGAGUGAACUCACACCUCAAGUCCCAGGUAUUACAGUAGUUUUGCAAGAUCCUGAGCCCAGGAACAUGGUUUUGCAGCUGUUCUGAGCACCUGUGCCCUGGAUCCUCCACUGUGGCUGCCUGUGAUCCAUGUAAGCCUCAACACCAGGAGAAAUCCCAUGAGCUAAAACUUUCCACUCUGAGAAAGACAAGAACAGGAGGAACCCUUAAGUUCUUGUCCUUAUAACCUAUGCAAUCGCUGCCACAAACUCCUCCAGCCUAGAACACCAAGCCUCCACAGUUAUUGCUAACAUUGGUCACAAGUGAGUAAGUUGCAUGAAGGCUUCACCACCAUAUCCACACAGAACAAGAGCCACUACAUCCUGCCCAAUCAGCAACCUCAAACCCAUCUGUAAGUGGAAUUCUUCUACUGAGAUAGCUGCUGUGUAAAGUUUAGAAGAGGUGACUGCCCUACCAAAUGCACAGACAUCAAUACAUCAAUACGGAGACACAAAAAGCAUGAAGAAAAACAAGAAAACAUGACACUACCUAAGAAAUAUAAUGAUUAUCCAGUAAAUGAUCCCAAAGAAAUAAAAAUUUACAAGUUGCCUAAAAAGGAAUUCAAAAUAAUAACCUUAAGGAUAGUCAAUGAGAUAUAAAAGAAUGCAAAUAUGCAAUUCAAUGAAAUCAGGAAAACAAUAUAGGAUCUAAAUGAGAAACUCAACAAAGAUAUUAUUAAAAGAGAACAAAACAGAAAUCUUGGAGCUGAAUAAUUCAAUCAAUGAAAUAAAAAUAUACAUUUGAGAACUUCAACAGUAGACUAGUUUGACCUGAAUAAAGAAUCUGUGAACUUGAGGAUUGGUGUUAUGAAAUGAGUCAGGGAAGAAAAAAAGAAGGAAAAAAAGAGGGAAGACAGCCUAAGGAACUUAUGGGACAUCACUAAACAAACAAAUAUUUAUAUUAUGAGAGGUCAAGAAGGCAGAAAGAGAAAGGGACAAAAAGCUUACUUUUAUAUUUUUAUUUUUUUAAUAGACAAAUAAUAAUUGGACAUAUUCAUGAAGUACAUCUUGAUGUUUCAAGAAAUACAAUGUACAGUGAUCAGAUCAGGGUAAUCAGCAUAUCCAUCAUCUCAAAAAUUUAUCAUUUCUUUGUGUUGGGAACAUUCAAUUUCCUCCUUCUAGCUAUUUGAAACUAUAUUGUUUCAAUACACUAUAUUCAAAACAUAAUAGUAUUGUUGACUAUAGUUAUCCUAUAGUGGUUUAGAACACUAGAAUUUAUUCCUCCUAUCUAUCUGUGAUUUUGUAUUCUUUAAUCUCUUAAUAAAAUAAUUGCUGAAAACUUUCCAAGACUUGGUAGAAGUACAGACAUCAAGAUUCAUGAGGCUCAAAGUUCCAAACAGGUUCAUCCCAAAGAGGUCCUCCCUGAGGUAUAUUAUAAUCAAAUUGUCAACAGUCAAAGACAAAUAGAUAAUUUUUUAAGCAGUAAAAUGGCAAGGCUUAGAGACUGGAGGAAAAAAAACAGCAAGAGAAAACUGUCAAGUCACUUACUGACAUUGAUUGAGGAUUGAGAUACUAUAGUCAAAGUGCUGCUUAAAAAAAUGUCUGCCAAGAAUACUAUUACCAGCAAAGCCAUUAUUUAGAAAUGAAAAAAAA
rnacentral:lncRNA from 10 species